GUCCCAAUAGCUCAAUAGGAUAGAGCAGUAGCCUCCUAAGCUACAGAUCAAGGUUCGAUUCCCUGUUGGGACGCCA
rnacentral:tRNA from 1 species